rnacentral:rRNA from 1 species
AAGCACCUACUUUGGAUUUCUUCGGAAUGACGAGGUUUGUGACUGAGCGGCGGACGGGUGAGUAACGCGUGGGUAACCUGCCUCAUACAGGGGGAUAACAGUUGGAAACGGCUGCUAAUACCGCAUAAGACCACGAAACCGCAUGGUUUUGAGGUAAAAACUCCGGUGGUAUGAGAUGGACCCGCGUCUGAUUAGCUAGUUGGUGGGGUAACGGCCUACCAAGGCGACGAUCAGUAGCCGACCUGAGAGGGUGACCGGCCACAUUGGGACUGAGACACGGCCCAAACUCC